AUUGGGAAAAAACAUGGAGUCAGCUCCGGCAGCCCCCGACCCCGCCGCCAGCGAGCCAGGCAGCAGCGGCGCGGACGCGGCCGCCGGCUCCAGGGAGACCCCGCUGAACCAGGAAUCCGCCCGCAAGAGCGAGCCGCCUGCCCCGGUGCGCAGACAGAGCUAUUCCAGCACCAGCAGAGGUAUCUCAGUAACGAAGAAGACACAUACAUGUAAGUAAUGCAUUUUUUUUCUGUCCAAAGUUUUCUGAAGAGUUGGAAUUCGCAUAUGUCUGGCUGCUGUGACCCUUCAAGUAUAUACUAAUGUUUCAGCUGUGAUCCAUGGUCAACAGAGGUCAUUUUUUUUCAAUCUGUAGUGGUCGGAAGUGGCACAUCUCCACCUGUUUGUACUGAGUGUGUGUUGAAGAGAGAGGCUAGAGACAUAUUCUGAUGAAUUCCAGUGUUUCCAGCCAUGAAGCUUUAGAAAAAUCAUGAAAUCUAGCCAGGAGGAUCAAUUACUUACUGAUCACCCUUAUCCUAGAUCCUUCUUAGAAGAGCUGGUAUGUUUCUAGGAAACAUCACCUUGAUUUCUUUUAAACUUUGGUCUCCUUUUCCUCACCACUAGUUCACAAAUUAGGCCGUUUCGUACUCAUGUCUGUGGAGCAGA
rnacentral:sRNA from 1 species